UCGAUUGAGUUUGAUCCUGGCUCAGAUUGAACGCUGGCGGAAUGCUUACACAUGCAAGUCGAGCGGCAGCGCGGGGCAACCUGGCGGCGAGCGGCGAACGGGUGAGUAACAUAUCGGAACGUAUCCUGAAAUGGGGGAUAGCCCGGCGAAAGCCGGAUUAAUACCGCAUACGAUCCCUGGAUGAGAAUCCGGGAAUGAAAGCAGGGGACCGCAGGGCCUUGCGUUUCUGGAGCGGCCGAUAUCUGAUUAGCUAGUUGGCGGGGUAAAGGCCCACCAAGGCGAUGAUCAGUAGCUGGUCUGAGAGGAUGAUCAGCCACACUGGGACUGAGACACGGCCCAGACUCCUACGGGAGGCAGCAGUGGGGAAUUUUGGACAAUGGGGGAAACCCUGAUCCAGCCAUUCCGCGUGAGUGAAGAAGGCCUUCGGGUUGUAAAGCUCUUUCAGCCGGAAAGAAAUGGUUACGGAUAAUACCUGUGACUACUGACGGUACCGGAAGAAGAAGCACCGGCUAACUACGUGCCAGCAGCCGCGGUAAUACGUAGGGUGCGAGCGUUAAUCGGAAUUACUGGGCGUAAAGCGUGCGCAGGCGGUUUGUUAAGACAGGUGUGAAAUCCCCGGGCUCAACCUGGGAAUGGCGCUUGUAACUGGCAAGCUAGAGUGUGUCAGAGGGAGGUAGAAUUCCACGUGUAGCAGUGAAAUGCGUAGAGAUGUGGAG
rnacentral:rRNA from 1 species